CCCGCAGUUUUGAAGAGCCGGCCUUGUGAAAUUAUCGGCUGGGACACGGCUAACUUCUGACACCGCUGCAGCUGAGAGAUCAUGGACACCUGCCAGCAAAGCCACUGAGGCUGAGCCUCCCUGUGUGCGUCUGAUGGAAACCAUUAGUCAUCCCUCAGCACUCUGUCCUCCUGCGUUCCUUUCUGGGCAACCUACCUAGCAGUUGUUCGCGGAGGUCAUUUAUUGAACGUGGAAGUCCCUGUUUGGCCAUCCAUGGAAGGUUGCUGUUCCUUGGAUCUUCCCUGUGAGGUGAACCAGAGUGUCUUUGGGUGGCUGUGUUUAUGCC